rnacentral:rRNA from 1 species
GAUGAACGCUGGCGGCGUGCCUAAUACAUGCAAGUCGAGCGAACGGACGAGAAGCUUGCUUUUCUGAUGUUAGCGGCGGACGGGUGAGUAACACGUGGAUAACCUACCUAUAAGACUGGGAUAACUUCGGGAAACCGGAGCUAAUACCGGAUAAUAUUUUGAACCGCAUGGUUCAAAAGUGAAAGACGGUCUUGCUGUCACUUAUAGAUGGAUCCGCGCUGCAUUAGCUAGUUGGUAAGGUAACGGCUUACCAAGGCAACGAUGCAUAGCCGACCUGAGAGGGUGAUCGGCCACACUGGAACUGAGACACGGUCCAGACUCCUACGGGAGGCAGCGGUAGGAAAUCUUCCGCAAUGGGCGAAAGCCUGACGGAGCAACGCCGCGUGAGUGAGGAAGGUCUUCGGAUCGUAAAACUCUGUUAUUAGGGAAGAACAUAUGUGUAAGUAACUGUGCACAUCUUGACGGUACCUAAGCAGAAAGCCACGGCAAACUACGU